GGAGGGCUACGGCUGCGAGGUUUACUCGUUCGACCCGACGAUGAACCAACCCGCGCAUCUGAGAGGCAAAAACGUUCAUUUCCUGCCGCUGGGUCUGGGAGGCAGCGCCCGCAACGUCAGUUACUAUCGAAAACACUUCCAGGUUUUUCCGUAUCGAACUAUAUUAGACAGAAUCGAGA
rnacentral:lncRNA from 1 species